AUUGAACGCUGCGGGCAGGCUUAACACAUGCAAGUCGAGCGGAGAUGAGGUGCUUGCACCUUAUCUUAGCGGCGGACGGGUGAGUAAUGCUUAGGAAUCUGCCUAUUAGUGGGGGACAACAUUCCGAAAGGGAUGCUAAUACCGCAUACGUCCUACGGGAGAAAGCAGGGGAUCUUCGGACCUUGCGCUAAUAGAUGAGCCUAAGUCGGAUUAGCUAGUUGGUGGGGUAAAGGCCUACCAAGGCGACGAUCUAUAGCGGGUCUGAGAGGAUGAUCCGCCACACUGGGACUGAGACACGGCCCAGACUCCUACGGGAGGCAGCAGUGGGGAAUAUUGGACAAUGGGGGGAACCCUGAUCCAGCCAUGCCGCGUGUGUGAAGAAGGCCUUAUGGUUGUAAAGCACUUUAAGCGAGGAGGAGGCUACUGAGACUAAUACUCUUGGAUAGUGGACGUUACUCGCAGAAUAAGCACCGGCUAACUCUGUGCCAGCAGCCGCGGUAAUACAGAGGGUGCGAGCGUUAAUCGGAUUUACUGGGCGUAAAGCGUGCGUAGGCGGCUUUUUAAGUCGGAUGUGAAAUCCCCGAGCUUAACUUGGGAAUUGCAUUCGAUACUGGGAAGCUAGAGUAUGGGAGAGGAUGGUAGAAUUCCAGGUGUAGCGGUGAAAUGCGUAGAGAUCUGGAGGAAUACCGAUGGCGAAGGCAGCCAUCUGGCCUAAUACUGACGCUGAGGUACGAAAGCAUGGGGAGCAAACAGGAUUAGAUACCCUGGUAGUCCAUGCCGUAAACGAUGUCUACUAGCCGUUGGGGCCUUUGAGGCUUUAGUGGCGCAGCUAACGCGAUAAGUAGACCGCCUGGGGAGUACGGUCGCAAGACUA
rnacentral:rRNA from 1 species